UGGGGAUUGGUGAAAUGGCAUCACGUCGCGCUCUGGACGCGAAAUUUGAGGUUCAAAUCCUUGAUCCCCAGCCU
rnacentral:tRNA from 2 species